AAGAAAUAUAGAGAUGAGUACCAUCAGCAUAACAGUGAAAGAUAACACCAUGUUUCUUGAUGACAUUUCCCAAGGGUAACAUGAAAAACGUGAAAAGCAGCGGUCCUAGUACUGAGCCUUGUGGUACUCCAUACUGCACUUGUGAUCGUGAU